UAUAGUUGGAAAUUGUAAUAAAACUGUAAUCAAUCUAUGCUUUGAAUAUAAUUUAUAUAAAUACAUAUUUUUCUUUUCAGAUCCAUGCUGCUGCCAAUCUUCAACUGAAAAACUUGACAACGAAUAAACAAAUAAUCGCAGGACUUUGCCCAACCUCACACUCAGAAUGCAAAUGGAAGACUUUAUAAAGUCUGGCUUUUGUGCGAGCGAACGGACAUAAUCUUUUGCGAAAUUAUCACAGAAAUUGCACAAAGCAGAUACAAAUUAUGACGCUCAGAAAUAAAACACUCGGAAAAGGUGGAAAGGAAAAGGACUGUAUUUAUGCUUUAUUUUUCAUUGCUUCAAAUUGAAAAUUCUCUAACUGGAAUCCCAGCUUAGAAUUUAUAAAAUAAUCAAAUUGUUUUGAUCAGCUGAAAUUAUUGUUAGUAAUUGCUUCCUGUUUGCAUUAAUAUUAAAAAGUCACUUAGCCGGAACAAAAGAAGUUUUUUACAAUGUAUAAAGAUAAACUGAGCUGAACUCUGACUCUGACUCUGUUGUCGACGAAAUGGAGUGCAUUUUAAAUACAUAAAUUUAUGUAUUACACAUAAUUUAAUGCAAUUAAUUGAACAUUAAAAGUGCAAUGGAAAAUGCACAGCACGACGCAAGAAUGAAAACAAACGAUCCGGAUAAUUUAUGAACAACAGAAACCUCUGAUGAAAUUUGAUUAAAAAUAAUGGUUAUAUAUAUUUAUAUUGUCAUAAGUAGGUGGAGACUCGCUGUGUUCGCGGAGCGGAGAGCAUAAUUAAAAUGUCAAACAUGGCAUAAAUCAUGCUGUUGGUUAAUGCACUGUGCGUGUGUUCACUGCGUGUGCUAAAAUUUUAAUUGCAUUUUCAUUAAAAUCAAUAAAAUGCGAAACUCCCCGAAAUAUCUGCCCACCCAUUCGAUUGCCCUUCGCAGCUGAGGAAAGUGCACUUUAUGCAACCGGGCCCCAAAAAUGGCACUUCAUUGCGCAAAGAACUUUUACAGUCAGCCAGGUGCGAGUGCUUCAAAAUGAAAAAACUAAUGAAAAUGCAAGCAGCAACGAAAAGCGGCCAAGACACACAGAGGCAUGGGCAGGAGCAAAGGGGCAAUAGGAGCAAAGAGGGUUUUGGUACCAGCUAGUAGAUGUGCUGCCCAGUGCAAAUGGAAAUUAGAUUGCCCCGACGCCAGUUUGCCAGACAAAACUUGAUACAAGUUCUUUUUUUCUUUUUUGCAUACCCUAUGCUCAUAAAAUUGUUAACAAAAGUCUAAUAAAAUUUAGCAAAGCUAUGUAACAAA